GGAGUUCUUACCAGUCAAAAGUUAGGAUCUUUACUCGGUUAUGGUAUUUCGUUUUAAGUUUCGUUUCAGAAAAAGUGUCUUCAGUAAAAAUUCAAUAUCUCUCUCAAUUUCGAUCCAUUUUAAAAGAUCUUUAUCUCGUUUUAAAGCUUAGGAAAAUAGCUACAUUUUUUAUGAAGAAAGUAUUGUCUAGAUCAGGGUGUAACUAUUUUUAAAACAUUUAUUUUUAGGCUGUAUUCAGAAAUCGGCGUGAUCCAGGAUUUUAAAGAAACUGUUUUGAGAAAACAUGCAUAACUCCUAGAUUAUAGCUCCGAUUUUGAUGAUCUUUAUACCGUUAGAAAGGUCUUUCAAUUAACUAAAAACUUUGUGAACAGUAGGACUUCUAAUUCAAACGUUUUAUAUGUCAAAUUCUAGGUUAAACUUGCUGUACAGUAAGAGUAAUAAAUAUAUUGAGUUUAUCGGUGGACUAAGGGUUUCACUAAUUGUUAUAGGGCCUAGAAGGUAUCGUAAGAGUUAAUUACAGCGGAGUUGAGAUAAGUAAGCCUGUAAGCUUUCGGUGACAAGUUGAGUCUGGGCAGCAUGGGGUGUAUCUCGUGUGAUCAUGUAACUGCGUGUGGUCUUGGCCAUCUUCCGCUGAAAGUUUUUUUUUUUUAAUUUAUUAAACUUAUCGAGGAUGUUGUCGUUUAAAUUUUCUAUUACUUUUCCCUAAGUGGUAAUACUUUAUUUUCAACUGGGUACCCAUGUUUUGAAAAGUGUUUUUUUUUUAAAUAAAGGCAACAUUAGUAUCUUAACGCCAGUUUAUUUAUGGCAUCUUAUUUUACGUAAGUAAGGGCGUUACAAAUGGUACCAGAGCCACAGUUACAUUGAUCUUGAAUUCACGCGACAUACACACCAUCGCUGCAAAGGAUCAACUUGUCAUCAAGUAUGUAUGCUUUAUAUAUGUUAU